AAAAUCCAAGAAAAAAAAAUCAUUUCAUUAUUAAAAGACCUUGUGACAACAAGUUAGAUUUUCUCCUGACAGUACCCCCAUUCCACUUCAAAGACAAUGAUGACCAUUAGCAGCCUACAUAUGAAGUUUCUUCAAUUGUGGCAACCUAGCCACUGGUCAUAAAGAAAAAAAAAAAAAAAAAAAAAAAAAAAAAGCCCUUACUUUAUCUGCAGGCAAAAUUCCAUCCAAAAGGACACAAGGUAGUUGAUUGCUAAGCUCUGCCAUGACAGCAUAUGCUAGCCCUUCAUGAUUCCUGCUUCACUUAAAGUUUGUCAGAUAUUCUGAGCCCAAAGGCUGAAGAUAGAUGCUCCAACAUUAUAAAGAAUAUUGGGGGCUUUCCAGGCAGUCAGCUGUCUCUGUCAUUUCCUUAAUUUUUGGAAACUGCAUUCUUGUGCUUCCUGCAUACUCUAAUAAUAUGUGUACUUUUUUGGGUCGCUGAAGGGCUUAAUACUAGAUAGUUAUAGUUUCACAAUCAAACUUUAGUUGUUUUGUAUUUAAGAUGUUCUGGGUCUAAAAAGAUGUUUUAUUAUGGUAAUACAGGUUAAAAUUAUACAUGAUUUAAAUAACAAAACUCUAAACACAUUAAGAUAGAAUACAUGGCAAAAUACCUUACCCAAGUUGCCAAAAACAAACAAACUGAAGUUUUUAAGUGUAUCCCAUACCUAAUAACUUCCAUGAUGGUUUCAUAAUUGUUUGUACUAUAUGUUGUUUGCUAUUAUAAGAGAAAGAAAGAGCCUUUUUAAUUAAACAAAAAAGGGAAAUUGUUGAGGUUUGGUCUUUUGCUAUGCAAAAAACUGGUUGCUCCCAGAAACUGCAUGUAGACACAGGUGAUGCUCCUCAAGUUAUCCCUGAUUGGUGAAUAAAGAUGCUGACAGCCAAUACCUGGGCAGAAGAGGCAUAGGUGUAGUUUAGGGUUCCUGGACUUGGAGUUGGAGGAGAACCAUGAGGUGGUAGGGGCAGGGUGGGGGAGAAUAUGGAGAAUAGAGGAGAAGACAACAUGGGGUAAAAAAUCUUAAAAUAAUGGCUUUGUGGGUUGGCUAAUUGGACUUAAGAUCAGCCCAGAUUAAACAGCAAAUUAUAUAAUGGUGUUUUGCCUGGGAAAUAGACAUAAAAGCAUAGAGGAUAGAUAUCUGCUCAGAUCUUAUACUGACUAAAACUAAUUAUAAAUUUAAAGGUUGUAUGUGUCUUUUAUCUGGGAACUAAAUGUUCAAUGGCAGGGUAGAAACCUGGAUUGAAAUUAAAUAAUUUGCUAAACAAUAUUAGAUACAAUUGGUAUUGAUAUAGCAACUAUUUUCAUGCAUUAAUAUAUAAAGAUGACACCUCAGUCAUAUCUAAACCUUCACAAUAGUGUUUAUAAAUAAUAGAAUGAAUUACAUUUAACAAUAUUUGUAUUAUUGUACUUAAAGCUAAUUCUUAGAAACUGUAUUUGGAAUAUAUUUCCAAAAUAUCAAUAGUAAGUUAUAAAUAUAGUACAUUUAAAUUUUGUGGAUCCUAACUAACCUUACAGAAUAACC
rnacentral:lncRNA from 1 species